CUGGCAGGGUGGGCGGCGAUCCCACCGGGAUGACAAAGGGCCCGGUCACUCCGUCUCCAGUCCCUCCCAGUCUUGGCCUCUGAGAGCAGCCUUGCUGUGCGCUCCUGGGCACUUCCACCCUCCCAGGGCCCAGACUGUGGCCCUGCACCCCCCCCUACUCCUUGCCCGGCCCACUGUGUGUUCCAGCGCCCCUGAGCGUGUCUGGGACGGUUCUCUGUAAAGCAUAGAUCCCAAAAUCCCAGCACCACGCGCGCGCGCGCGCACACACACACACACACACACACACACACACGCCUAGUAUCCAGGAAAACGUGGGCAGAGCUGGGGCCAGCACCCGGGAAGGGAACGUGGUGUUCGCCAGAGGUAUCUGUCCACACUUCUGGGGGCGGGGACAGUAGAAAAGUAACAAAAUCUUCCCCGUGUCACUCGACAGGUGCGGCCCCUUGAGAGGGAAUCCUGCUCAAGCACACCCGUGUUCCAGGACCACCUGUGGUUGGGACCAUCAGCUGUGCCUGCCUGCCUCUCACCUGGGGAGGUCAGUCAAGGUGAGCCUGGCAGAGAAAGCUCGUGGCUUCUCUAGAAGUGGGUGCCAUCAGGAACCAUCCAUCCCUGUGGUUCUCACGCUGGAGGGCUGCCUGGGAACGCCUGGUGGUUCUCACACUGGAGGGCUGCCUGGGAACACCUGGAGGGCUUGUUCAAAGUCAGGUCACUGGGCUCCACCCCAGAGUCUCUGAUCUUGCAGAUCUGAGGUGGGGCCUGAGAAUGGGUGCCUCUAACAAGCUCCUGGCUGGUGCUGCUGCUGGUCUGAGACCCCUCCCUCUGCCGCGCUGUGAGAAGCAGGGCCCUGGAGGCCUGAGACUCCUAGAAGGAGCAACCCUGGGACCCCAGCACCUGAGCGCAUCCUGGCCAUGGGACCAGAUGGAGUAGCCUUUGGCUUUCGUUUUCCGUGUUCACCUCCUUGACCCCCUUUACCUCCUGGGUCGUCGGGCUUUGCCUUGUGGACUGCUUCAAGCUUUCUGGAUAAUCAUGAGAUGAGCCCUGAGUCACAUCUUGCUUCUAUUUUUCCCCCCACUUUGUCACUUGUCCCUUGACUUUGUGGUUUGGGGCUUGUGUUUGGUCAGGCAGACAAUUUUAGUUUUUGUGUCAUCGGACUUUCCAGGCUUUUCCUUUUUCUUUUCUUUCUUUUUUUUUAAGAGUGAUUUGAGAGAGCGGGCAUGUACACGCACAUGGGGGAAGGGGCGGGGGAAGAGGGAGAGAGAGAAUCCUCCAGCAGACUCCCCGCUGAGCACGGAGCCCCACACGGGGCUCUAUCCCA
rnacentral:lncRNA from 1 species